GUGAUCAUUUUAGCACAACUUAAACAAAAAUUAGAAUGAUACUGAGAAAAUUAGCUUGGCUCCAGCAUAGGGUAACAUGCAAAUUUGUGAGGGACUCCCUAUUUUU
rnacentral:snRNA from 1 species